UAGGGAAUCUUCGGCAAUGGACGAAAGUCUGACCGAGCAACGCCGCGUGAGUGAAGAAGGUUUUCGGAUCGUAAAACUCUGUUGUUAGAGAAGAACAAGGACGUUAGUAACUGAACGUCCCCUGACGGUAUCUAACCAGAAAGCCACGGCUAACUACGUGCCAGCAGCCGCGGUAAUACGUAGGUGGCAAGCGUUGUCCGGAUUUAUUGGGCGUAAAGCGAGCGCAGGCGGUUUCUUAAGUCUGAUGUGAAAGCCCCCGGCUCAACCGGGGAGGGUAAUUGGAAACUGGGAGACUAGAGUGCAGAAGAGGAGAGUGGAAUUCCAUGUGUAGCGGUGAAAUGCGUAGAUAUAUGGAGGAACACCAGUGGCGAAGGCGGCUCUCUGGUCUGUAACUGACGCUGAGGCUCGAAAGCGUGGGGAGCAAACAGG
rnacentral:rRNA from 1 species